rnacentral:pre_miRNA from 1 species
GUACUACUUCUUCCGUCCAACAAAGAAUGUCUCGAGUUUAUCAAAAUUCGAAUGUAUCUAAACAUGAGUUAGUGUAUAGAUGCAUUCAAAUUUAGGCAAAAUUGAGACAUCUUUUGUUGGAUGGAGUCAGUUGGCA